AUUGCCUCCUAGCAGCCUAUCUACACAGACCUGAAAAAUAAAAGGCAGUAAAAAACUCUUUGUUUUUGUUCACUCUCAUCUUUCUGCUGCUUUCCUGUCUGACUGAAGCUUUCUCCUGCUUCCAGGCCUCAGAGAAGCCGUGCUGGCCCCAACCAGACUCCUAGAGGCUAUGUAGGCCAAGCCGACUCCCUGUUCCACCUAAGAACUUACUGGAGACAGUCAUCGAGCCUUCUGAGUCCUCCUUUCUCCAAGUCCUUCAGCGGAACCUCAAUGGAUACCACAUGGUUUCUACAUUUGCAGCCACCCUCCUCAGAGCACUUUGUCAAUAUCCUUCCUGAACUGUGACUCCUGCUUUGACACAUUAUUCUAACUCUUUUCUUCUCUUGUUAUGCUAACUUCGUCUUAUAUUGAUAUCUAACUUUUCGUGGUUCUAUGCCUUGUCUGCCUUACUAAGUUCUGUCCUUUAUUUAUGGUGACGGCAUUUUGUACAGUGUAACUCCAAAGUAAGAAAGUCUUUAUUCCCCGGUCAAAUAAAGGUAUAUCCAAAUGAAUGAUGUGUUUCAGGAGUUAUGCACUUAUUCCAGUGAUGCCUUAAUCACCCACCUUACCCUUUAGAAAUUGUAUUCACCCUGGGAGAGAGGGAAGGAGAAACAUUUGGGACAAGAUGCAGAGGAGACUUCCAAGUUCAGGGUUGACUUCAUGUAUGCAGCCUGUAGCAUCACAUGGGGCCCCUUUCGCAGAAGGGCCCUGCACUAGGUUUAAGGCUUGGCUGUCAUGGUUUGAAAUUCUUGAUAAUGUUAUCUUCGAGCCUGUGUUUUGUAAGUAAAGUCUGAUGGCACAAUGGAAC
rnacentral:lncRNA from 1 species